rnacentral:rRNA from 1 species
GACGAACGCUGGCGGCGUGCUUAACACAUGCAAGUCGAACGGAAAGGCCCUGCUUUUGUGGGGUGCUCGAGUGGCGAACGGGUGAGUAACACGUGAGUAACCUGCCCUUGACUUUGGGAUAACUUCAGGAAACUGGGGCUAAUACCGGAUAGGAGCUCCUGCUGCAUGGUGGGGGUUGGAAAGUUUCGGCGGUUGGGGAUGGACUCGCGGCUUAUCAGCUUGUUGGUGGGGUAGUGGCUUACCAAGGCUUUGACGGGUAGCCGGCCUGAGAGGGUGACCGGCCACAUUGGGACUGAGAUACGGCCCAGUCGCCUACGGGAGGCAGCAGUGGGGAAUAUUGCACAAUGGGCGGAAGCCUGAUGCAGCAACGCCGCGUGCGGGAUGACGGCCUUCGGGUGGUAAACCGCUUUCGCCUGUGACGAAGCGUGAGUGACGGUAAUGGGUAAAGAAGCACCGGCUAACUACGUG